rnacentral:lncRNA from 1 species
UUUUUUUUUUUUUUUUAAAUGAUAUGAUCCAAAAUCCUAAUGAAAAUGUGUCUCUAGGUUAUAGAAGAGCAAAAUGAAGUUCAGAGGCAACUUUCUCAAGAACCAAAUGCCAGAACAUUACAAGAUGGAAUUCUGAACAAUCAACUUUGCAAAUGGAAGGAGAUAGAAAUGUCUCCUACUGUCUACGGCCAUACCACCCUGAACGCGCCCGAUCUCGUCUGAUCUCGGAAGCUAAGCAGGGUCGGGCCUGGUUAGUACUUGGAUGGGAGAAAUGUCUCCUACUAAAAUGAAUUGAGGUAUUUUCCCUAGUUAUUUUGAAUUACAUGUGUGCAUAAAUUUUUAUGUAUGUAUAAUACAUUUUUGGAAUUAUUUUCUUCAUGUAUGUAUAUAUAUUUUAAAAACCAACACUGUACGUCAUGGAAGGUACAGAGGGUUUUAAAAGAAUAUAUAUAUAUAUUCUUAUAUAUGUAGGGGGGAGUGGCAUUUUUGGCCCAUUAGUUAAUUUAAGUGCAUUUGUCUGCAAGGGUCAAAUAGUGACAUCCAUAAUGUCCUUAUCUAAAGAAGUUUUUAUUAUUUUGGAAAAUAGUAUGGAAUUUAUGAGCUUUCCAUAAGCUCAAAACUCGUGCUACUAACAACAUAUGUUUUAGUUUUUGGCAAUUACUUGACCACCUCUGUAUUAAUAGAGAGGUUAGUUUCACACUUCCACUGAUAAACAGGAGGAAAAGUGUAGCCCAUUUUAAGACCUUACUUCAGAUGUUCCUCUCCUACUUUUGAGAAGAGUAACAAUUUGCUCCAAAUAGUAUCCGAUUUCAUUACAAGGAGCUUUUGAAACAAUCAUAUGCUGUAAUAUAUACUUACUGAUAAUUUAUUGAUAAGUCUUUUGUUCUUAAUAAAAUAGCUCAGUGUAUUUUCCCCUAUUUUGCAUUUAUUGCCAUUUUAAACAUCUGAAGAGGAAAUAAAAUUAGUUGCAGCCAGAAAUAAUCUCAUGAUUUUUCUAGGAGCUACGUAAAUUUUACCUGAGUUAGCAUUGGUAUUUUGAAAUGUAAGGCUUUUGUUUUUCUUUGUAAGAAAUUUUAUGGAUUCAUUUGACAGAGCACAAGCAGGGGGAACGGAGGCAGAGGGAGAGGGAGAAGCAGGCUUUCUGUGGAGCAGGGAGCCUGACAUGUGACUUGAUCUCCGGACUCAGGGACCAUGACCUCAGCCAAAGGCAGAGGCUUAACUGACUGAGCCACCCAGCCACUCCUGAAAUAUAAGGCUUCUUUUGUAUUUAUGACUCACACUAGAGAAGUAGCUGCAGUUAGAUGCCAGAACAGUAGUAGUGGGUACAAAGACCUGGGGAAUGUCCUGCAGAUCACUUAUGUAUUUUUAACCUCUCCAUUCUGGAAUGCUGGCAACUAAAAGAGAUCAUCAAUAUGUACAGAAGGGUUUGUAGUACCAUGUCUAGAUUUAUUAGUUAUCAGUAGAUAUAAUAAUUAUAACUGACUAUAGAAAUGUUAGAUAAGUAGAAUAUGUAUGGAAUAUUCUCAGGAAAAAGUGAGGUUAGGAAAUUGAAUCUGUCCAAAUAUAUGCAGAGCUAAGGAUUUUCCUGUGGACUACGUUAGAUAUCAAACUGUAAACUCAAUUUUAGUGUAGUCAGAUGUAUUAGUCUUUUAUUUCAGGCUUUCUGGGUUUGUUGUAAAUCAGAGAAGGACCUUUCCAAUUCUGAGAUUCUUAGGAUUUUGUCAUGAUUUUUUUUUCCUUUCGUGCAUUCAUUGUCUUCAAUUAAAUUUUUGAACUUUGGGGAAUUUAUGCUUGUAUAAAAGUUUGAGCUUGGAUCCACCUUUAUGUUUUUCCAGUUGGAUAUCCACUUAACUACAACCUAUUCCUUGUGUAAACAUAGAUUAUUCUUUAAUUUCAGAGAAAAUCAUGAUAAUGUCAUUUUAUUGAGUUCCAGCUAAAAGACUCUUGUUUUACUUAGGUUUCUCCUACUCAUGAAAAAGAAAAAGGUCUGUUACAUAAAAACCACGUUGGGGGCGCCUGGGUGGCUUAGCGGUUUAGCGCUGCCUUUGGCCCAGGGCCUGAUCCUGGGGUCCCGGGAUCGAGUCCCGCGUCGGGCUCCCUGCGUGGAGCCUGCUUCUCCCUCUGCCUGUGUCUCUGCCUCUCUGUCUCUCUGUGUGUGUCUCUCAUGAAUAAAUAAGUAAAAUCUAAAAAAAAAAAAAAAAAAAAACACAUGUUGCAAGAUGAAAUUGCCAUGCUAAGACUGGAAACAGACACAAUAAGGAAUCAGAAGCAGGAAAAGAAAUAUUGUGAAGACACUGAAAUUGAAAAAGAAAAGAAUGACAGUCUUCAAAACGCCAUAAAACUGAAUGAGGUAACAUUAACAAAUACAGUAUUCCAAUCUAGUGGGCAGCUGAAUGUUGUGACAACUGAGAAUACCAUGCUGAACUCUAAAUUGCAGGAUGAAAAGCUAAACAGAGAAAGACUGGAAGCAAAACUUCAAUCAUACCGAGCUAGACUGGCUAUUGCUAGACAGGAUCAUGAUCAAAGUCAGGCAUGAGAAAGAAACCUUAGCACUUGAUUUCCAGAGAGCAGAAGAUGAGUGGUGUCAUUUACAGGACAAAAUGAACUUUGAGAUGUCUAACCUAAAAGAUACCAAUGAGGUGCUUUCUCAGCAACUUUCUGAAGCUGAAAGUAAAUUCAAUACCCUGGAAAUUGAGCUCCAGUAUACAAGAGAUGCCCUCAGAGAAAAGACUUGGGCUUUAAAACAUGUACAAAGAAACAUAAAACAAACACAGUGUCAGAAAAAGGAAAUUGAACAGAAAUAUCAAAAUGAGCAAGGUAAAGUGAAUAAAUACAUUGGAAAGCAGAAAUCCAUAAAAGAGAGAUUAUCUCAACUACAAAGUGAAAAUAUGUGGCUCUAAGAGCAACUAGAUGAUGCCUACAGCAGUGUGCAGUGUAAAGAAAGACUAGAAUUGAUCUCCAAGACCAGGUUCAGGUUAUUGCAAGAAAUCUUCAAGCUGAAAGUGAAAAACAAAGUCUUAUACUGCAAGGAAGAAAUUGUGGGACCCAGGAAAUUUAACAAAAAUCCCCUACCCCUGGACAAGCAGAGCAGGACUAACUCCAUUUUGUGCUACACCUGCCACCUCCUGUAUCACCCCCACAUGACCUGCUUAUUGCUUAAGGCGCUGCCCCACCAUAGUCAAGCCGCUGGGCACACCCUAAUCAGAAAUCGGCUCAUAACAAUGUAACCCUGCUUUGUGCCCGCCAAAACUGCGCACCAAUUCUGACCAAAGUAAUAGGCCAGCUCAAAUGGAUACUAUAGGGUAAGGUGUAAUUCAAUUGGCCACCUGCAUGUGGACUGACAGGACUGUGCAACUUUCUGUGUAUCCCAUUGGCCACUGGCCCCUAUAAAGCUGCUACGCCUCUUAGUCUCAGGGUCCAAGUCCCUGCUCCGCUGUGUCGGGGACACUUGGACCAAGCUCGAGCUUGUAAAUAAACCCUCAUGUGUUUGCAUCGGUGUCGGCUCCUUGGUGGUUUCUAGGAUUCGCAAUCUUGGGCACAACCGAUGCAGGGCUUGAUGCCAGGACCCCAGGAUCGUGACCUGAACUGAAGGCAGAUGCUCAACUGCUGAGCCCUCAUUGCCUAGAUUCCUCAGGCUGUGGCUUUGACUCCCGUGAAUUAUUCAUCACAUAACUAGGAGCCUGUGUCUCCCAUGCCCCUUCACCCAUUCUGCCCAUGCCCCCCACCCACCUCCCCUCUGACAACCAUCAGUUUGCUUUCUGUACUUAUAGGCCUGAGAACCAGUACUUUUUAAAAAUGUAAAUUCAUGGACCCUUUGAGAAACUAACAACACAGAAUGUGAGUGGGCUUGAAGAGCUAUGCCUUGCAUUUUUAAGGCCCCUCAAAAGAAGUAGCUUAGUGUGUGACUAAAAAUAACAUUCGGUGUGUUGCAUUGACUGUCCUGAAUCUGGCUUCCCCAGUGCCAUGUGUAAGCAGCUGAGAAGGUCCUCAGUGUGGGCAGUGACUAGCACCAUGAUUUUAACAAAGCUGAAUGACAAAUUUGGAAAUCUCAUUCUUUGCUCUUUCAAGCAUAUCUAUAACUUAUCUUUGGCAGGUUUUGUCUCAUCUUUAUCCAUCAAUUAUGAUUUUUUUCCACUGUUUCCACUGAGGAUUAGUUUUCUGUAAGAAGUGAUUUUGAUUUUCAAAUACAUAGAAAUCUUAUUUUUUUUCCUCAAGACAUUACCAUGGAAGCCAGUCCUUCAGAAAAAAAAUAUAUAUAUUUUCUUCGUUUUAGGUUUUAUAUAGUCCCACAUUGUGUUCUAGUAUAUAAAAUAAAUGAUUCAACUUUCUAUAGUGGUUUGGGAAAUUAACUACAGUUGUAUAAUGAGUAAGUUCUAUGCUAUUUGCCCCAGUUUAAUGGAGUGCAAAAUAUUAUUGCUUACAUCUAUCUCGAGGAAUGAUUAGAAUGGAGUACUUCUAGUUUCUGGGGCAGUGGAAGGGUCAUCAUGGAAACAGCUGAGGCUACUCAGAUUUGAAAAGGACUUUCCACACAUAGCUGGCUCACUUGGUGCAAAUCUAAAGUGCCUGUGUGACUCACACCUGGCUUGGUGAUAUUUUUGACCUGUAUGUCCCAACCAGGGUUGAGUCCUGCUCCAAGAGUCACUGCAUUCAGGGAAGUUCCAAAAGCAUGGUGCACACAUGAGAUGCUCAUGGUUCCCUGUAGCUCCUUGCAGACAAGCUGCAGUUUACAGGUCAGGGGUCAUUCUUCUACCCCAGGUACUGUUGCUUGGCACUGUCGUCUCCAGAGUACAGAGCGAGAGAGCAUGCUCCUCAUGCAGCAGGAGAGCGGCCACUCCGACGCACAUAGUGCUCAGGAGCAAAAAUGCUUUCAAAUACUUUCCGGGUGAAACAUACCAUUUCUCCCUCUUCCCCUUUCUACUUAUUUCACUAAGGAGAAAAAAAAAAAGUUUAAUUACACAAGUAAUACAUUGUCAAAGAUGCAUAGAUAAAAAAAGGAAAAGAAUUCUUUACCCGUUUUUCCCCUGCCCCCAAUCUCAUUUCUUUCACCGUUUGACGAGUAUCCUUCAAGAAUGUUCUGUGCAUUAAACACCUAUAUAGGGAUGUGCGUAAACAUAUUGUUUAAUGCAUCGAGCACUUCUAGAUGGAUAUGAAUAAAUAUAUAGGGAUGGACAUACAGAAAUCUAUGUCUUUUUGUUUCCUUUUUAAUCAGAUUCUGUCCUACUCUGUGGAUUGUUCUAUAACUUUCUUUCUAGACCAUGUAAUGUGUCAGAGCUGUAUUUCCAUGGUGUGUGUGUGUCUGUCUGUCUAGAUAACCUUUCUAUACAUACAUCUGUAUCUCUGUCAUUCUUCUAAACUAAGGCAUCCUCUUCCAUCAUAUCACAGCUCAAUGAACUAUAGAAUCAUAAUUCUGUUGAUGAAAGCCCCAGCUUUGCCCCUUUUGUAAUAUUUUGGAAGAAAAGAUGUAAAUAUUAAAUGGAUGUUAUCAAAUUGUCCUCCAGGGAUCCCUGGGUGGCGCAGCGGUUUGGCGCCUGCCUUUGGCCCAGGGCGCGAUCCUGGAGACCCGGGAUCGAAUCCCACGUCGGGCUCCCGGUGCAUGGAGCCUGCUUCUCCUUCUGCCUAUGUCUCUGCCUCUCUCUCUCUCUCUGUGUGACUAUCAUAAAAAAAAAAAAAAAA